rnacentral:misc_RNA from 1 species
GUUUCUGAAUCUAUCCUUGCAUCGAAAUUAACUAACAUUAGCUCUCUUCCCUCUCAAAAAACAAAAAAUCCUCUAUCCUGGCUAGAUUUCUCCAACUUCAACUCUCCCAACAAUAAUUAAAAACUGGGAUUCUGUCCUAAAGAUUUGAAAUUUUGGUUGGAAAGUUUUAUGUUGGGAAAGUUUAUUGAAUGAGGAAGCUAGCAGCAAAGGCUGUAUUCCUAUAAAAAGGAAGAAUCUAACAGCAUUUCACCAGUAGGCCAUUCCUAAGUCUUUUAGAAGAUGAUUUCUUCCGUGUAUUUGGGCUCAAGGGGAUUGUUAAUGCUAAGUUUUAGCAAUGAUAUCAUCGAUCACAAAUAAUUUUCAUAAAGGUUUAAAAUUUCAAAAUUUCACUGAAAUUGGGCGUGGAAAGGUUAUUAAUUUCUGUCCUAGAGAUUUUGAUUACAAGAAAACAUGGAUAAGUAUAGAAAGAUGAGGCUGUAUUUCAGCAUAAGCCCACACCACACUAUCAUCAAUCUAGCUACCAGCUAACUUAAUGCAGAGCAUGAAAUAUUAACAACAAGAUGUAGGGUACUUCAAAUGAGCUGCUAAGCAAUAACAGAGCAUGGAAUUGGACUAUGUCAAACCCACAGCACCAGAACGCCCAGCCAAUGCAAAAGUCCUUCAGAGACUUGAAAUUGCAAAUUUAUAGGAGAAGCAAAAUUUAAUUACCAAAACAAAGGCAACUUGCAGGUUCCUCGAGUGUUCCACCCCAAAAGUAAAUAUCUAUGUCCUGCAUGUUUCCUUCGGUAAGAUUUGAACCUAGCUAACCUAGCUAAGCUAUAUGUUCUUGUGAUCUUGUCUAUCAUCUGAUAUAUAUGCCUUCAUAUAACUGAAACAAUUCUUCAGAUAUGCAUAUACACAGAGAGAUUUUUCUCCUCUUUCUUUGGAAUCCAUUAUUGGGAUCAGAUAGAUCAGAAAAUGCA